rnacentral:misc_RNA from 1 species
GAUGAAGAACGUAGCGAAAUGCGAUACUUGGUGUGAAUUGCAGAAUCCAGUGAACCAUCGAGUCUUUGAACGCAAGUUGCGCCCGAAGCCAUUAGGCCGAGGGCACGCCUGCCUGGGCGUCACACGUCGUUGCCCCCCCAUCUACUCCUUCGGGAUUGCGGGGGGCGGAUGAUGGCCUCCCGUGCGCCUCGUCGCGCGGUUGGCAUAAAUGCCAAGUCCUCGGCGACGCACGCCACGACAAUCGGUGGUUGCGAAACCUCGGUUGCCCGUCGUGUGCGGUCGUCGCGCAUCGAGGGCUCGAAAAAAUUGCCGGGCUCCGGCUCGGCUUUCAACGCGACCCCAGGUCAGGCGGGGUUACCCGCUGAAUUUAAGCAUAUCAAUAAGCGGAGGA